rnacentral:rRNA from 1 species
UUCCAGACUCCUACGGGAGGCAGCAGUGGGGAAUAUUGCACAAUGGGGGAAACCCUGAUGCAGCGACGCCGCGUGAGUGAAGAAGUAUUUCGGUAUGUAAAGCUCUAUCAGCAGGGAAGAAGUUGACGGUACCUGACUAAGAAGCCCCGGCUAACUACGUGCCAGCAGCCGCGGUAAUACGUAGGGGGCAAGCGUUAUCCGGAUUUACUGGGUGUAAAGGGAGCGUAGACGGCGAUGCAAGUCAGAAGUGAAAGCCCGCGGCUCAACUGCGGGACUGCUUUUGAAACUGUAUAGCUUGAGUGCAGGAGAGGUAAGCGGAAUUCCUAGUGUAGCGGUGAAAUGCGUAGAUAUUAGGAGGAACACCAGUGGCGAAGGCGGCUUACUGGACUGUAACUGACGUUGAGGCUCGAAAGCGUGGGGAGCAAACAGGAUUAGAUACCCCUGUA